AUUGAACGCUGGCGGCAGGCCUAACACAUGCAAGUCGAACGAGCGGCGGACGGGUGAGUAAUGUCUGGUGAUCUGCCCGAUUGAGGGGGAUAACUACUGGAAACGGUGGCUAAUACCGCAUACUAUCGGAUGAACCCAUAUUGGAUUAGCUAGUAGGUGGGGUAAAGGCUCACCUAGGCGACGAUCUCUAGCUGGUCUGAGAGGAUGAUCAGCCACACUGGGACUGAGACACGGCCCAGACUCCUACGGGAGGCAGCAGUGGGUAAUAUUGCACAAUGGGCGCAAGCCUGAUGCAGCCAUGCCGCGUGUAUGAAGAAGGCCUUCGGGUUGUAAAGUACUUUCAGCGGGGAGGCGUUAACCGAAGAAGAAGCCCCGGCGAACUCCGUGCCAGCCGCCGCGGUAAUAC
rnacentral:rRNA from 1 species